UACGGAGGGUGCAAGCGUUAUCCGGAUUCACUGGGUUUAAAGGGUGCGUAGGUGGGUCUGUAAGUCCGUGGUGAAAUCUCCAAGCUUAACUUGGAAACUGCCAUGGAUACUAUAGGUCUUGAAUACCGUGGAGGUGAGCGGAAUAUGUCAUGUAGCGGUGAAAUGCUUAGAUAUCAGGAGGAACACCGGUGGCGAAGGCGGCUAUCUGGACAGAGUCUGACGCUGAGGCGCGAAAGCUAGGGGAGCAAACAGG
rnacentral:rRNA from 1 species